UGAUUUCCCAGAACCAG
rnacentral:misc_RNA from 1 species